UCGGAAUCUACCUUUUCGUGGGGGAUAACGUAGGGAAACUUACGCUAAUACCGCAUACGACCUUCGGGUGAAAGCAGGGGACCUUCGGGCCUUGCGCGGAUAGAUGAGCCGAUGUCGGAUUAGCUAGUUGGCGGGGUAAAGGCCCACCAAGGCGACGAUCCGUAGCUGGUCUGAGAGGAUGAUCAGCCACACUGGAACUGAGACACGGUCCACACUCCUACGGGAGGCAGCAGUGGGGAAUAUUGGACAAUGGGCGCAAGCCUGAUCCAGCCAUACCGCGUGGGUGAAGAAGGCCUUCGGGUUGUAAAGCCCUUUUGUUGGGAAAGAAAAGCAGUCGAUUAAUACUCGGUUGUUCUGACGGUACCCAAAGAAUAAGCACCGGCUAACUUCGUGCCAGCAGCCGCGGUAAUACGAAGGGUGCAAGCGUUUACUCCGGAAUUACUGGGCGU
rnacentral:rRNA from 1 species